UGUUUUGUUUUUUUUACCCUUAGAAACCACAGCUAUUUACACCUUCAUAAAGCAGGGCAUCAUAUCCGAAGCGGAAAUAGGCUUCUCUGGAGUGAACAUGGGAUGGAGUAGACGUUCAACUCAACAGGCUAAUCAUUUGUAAUAGCCGCAAUUACAGAAAAAGACCACUAGAGUGCGCCAAAGUCCGCAGAAAAAUCACAGCUGAGCAGCGCCGUUCUUCAUUUUUCAUCUCCUACAAACGCCUCAUGCAGUGAAAAAGCCAGAUGUGUCUCCUGUAAUGGAAAAGAAAGGGGGGAAAAAAACUUUCAGCAAUUCCACUUUACAAAUUUUCACUGGACAGGACUGAAGUAUCAGCUAUCAAAUGUUGUAUUCACCACAUGUGAUGUGCUUCACUACAGCACUGUUAUGCAAAACCAGGGCCGACGGGUCUCUUUUCUCCCGUUGUCACCUCUUUUGUUUAAAGUGUUUAUUAGAAGUAUAAGGGAGAUGAAGCAGACAGGGCAACAGCGACGCCUUUGCUGACCUGGCGGCAGAGAUCGCUGGUUUAGGAUGACUCUCUCCUCCUUCACCAUCCAUCCGUAGCACUUCCUCCGCUCACCUGCCCCUCCCUCAGUCCCUCUGACCUCCAUUCCCAACUCUUCUGGCUGAUUACUCCUAAUGUAAUUUUAAUUAAAAACUGUGGUGUCAAAGGGUUUAGCCUGCCUGAGAAGCGGGUGCAGAUUGUGGCACAGUGGCAGACCCCUUCACUUGCUUGAGAGGAAAUGCAUCCUGACAUUGCUCGGGUGGUGCCAACACAACUAGAGCCAAGGUAAAAUAAAAAGGCUUUCUGUUUUACUUAAAUAUUGUAUACGCUUAUGCUGCAGGGGUGCAAAAGAAUCCUGAAUCUUUUCUUUUACUUAUUUGUUUCAUUUGGAUUGCAUACUGUAUUGGAUUGUGUAAGUUAUGUGAACGUUCUUUUACACACAAUACACCAGUAAUUCUCCAUCCCUGUAGGCCUGAUAUGUAUUAAACUGUUAUCCAGGCA